rnacentral:sRNA from 1 species
AAUAUUCGGUAGGUGAGGCUACCACAGGGAUACGGAUUGCUGCCGCGAAAUGGUGGAGACACUAUGAGCUGGUUAGCAGGGAAUGUCGAAACCAAGGCAUGCCCUAACGCAAUUUCACUGCCCUGCGAAGCUGAAGCUUGAACGGUG